AUUGAACGCUGGCGGCAGGCCUAACACAUGCAAGUCGAGCGAGCGGCGGACGGGUGAGUAAUGUCUGGGAAACUGCCUGAUGGAGGGGGAUAACUACUGGAAACGGUAGCUAAUCCCGCCUACCAUCAGAUUUGCCCAGAUGGCAUUAGCUAGUAGGUGGGGUAACGGCUCACCUAGGCGACGAUCCCUAGCUGGUCGUAGAGGAUGACCAGCCAGACGGGAACUGAGACACGGGCCAGACUCCGACGGGAGGAAGCAGUGGGGAAUAUUGCACAAUGGGCGAAAGCCUGAUGAAGCCAUGCCGCGUGUGUGAAGAAGGCCGUCGGGUUGUAAAGCACUUUCAGCGGGGAGGCGUUACCCGCAGAAGAAGCACCGGCUAACUCCGUGCCAGCAGCCGCGGUAAUUC
rnacentral:rRNA from 1 species